rnacentral:lncRNA from 1 species
CUUGGGAAAGGAGCUAUUCCCAUUUUUCUCCCUUGAUUGGAGCGGUUGGAGCGUGCCCUAGCUUCCACCAUUCUCCUCCAAAUCGGGGUUUCUCUCCUCCAAAAAUCUCUUUCCAUCCCCUAAUAACCCUCUAUCUCCUCACACAUUUGAUCUUCCAAGUCUCCUUGCUUGUUCUGGUGGUGAGAAUGGCUCCAAAAAUGAAACUCCCUCAAAGAAGAAAAUCGAUCCGUGAGUUGGAAGAGGG